rnacentral:rRNA from 1 species
AGUAUAUUAGUACCAAUCUUCAAGAACAAGGGGGAUGUUCAGAGUUGUACUAAUUACCGUGGAAUUAAGCUGAUGAGCCAUACAAUGAAGCUAUGGGAGAGAGUCAUUGAGCACCGCUUAAGAAGAAUGACAAGCGUGACCAAAAAUCAGUUUGGUUUCAUGCCUGGGAGGUCGACCAUGGAAGCCAUUUUCUUGGUACGACAACUUAUGGAGAGAUAUAGGGAGAAAAAGAAGGACUUGCAUAUGGUGUUCAUUGACUUGGAGAAGGCCUAUAAUAAGAUACCGCAGAAUGUCAUGUGGUGGGCCUUGGAGAAACACAAAGUCCCAGCAAAGUACAUUACCCUCAUCAAGGACAUGUACGAUAAUGUUGUGGCAAGUGUUCGAACAAGUGAUGUCGACACUGAUGACUUCCCGAUUAAGAUAGGACUGCAUCAGGGGUCAGCUUUGAGCCCUUAUCUUUUUGCAUUGGUGAUGGAUGAGGUCACAAGGGAUAUACAAGGAGAUAUCCCAUGGUGUAUGCUCUUUGCGGAUGAUGUGGUGCUAGUUGACGAUAGUCGGACGGGGGUAAAUAGGAAGUUAGAGAUAUGGAGACGAACCUUGGAAUCGAAAGGGUUUAGG